GUAGGUGAACCUGCGGAAGGAUCAUUGUCGAAACCUGCCCAGCAGAAAGACCCGCGAACACGUCAGAAACACUCGGGGGGCACAGGGUGCCAAUGAGCCUCGAACCCCCUGUGCCUAGGGCUUCGGCCACGGUCGACGUCCUAGGCUUAAAAACAAACCCCGGCGCGGAAUGCGUCAAGGAAAAAAGAUGGAACGACCCAUGCCGCCAUAGCCCCGGAAAACGGUGCAUUGCUGUGGUGGUUGAUUCGUGAUUGUUUUAAGUCAAAACGACUCUCGGCAACGGAUAUCUCGGCUCUCGCAUCGAUGAAGAACGUAGCGAAAUGCGAUACUUGGUGUGAAUUGCAGAAUCCCGUGAACCAUCGAGUCUUUGAACGCAAGUUGCGCCCGAAGCCAUUUGGUCGAGGGCACGUCUGCCUGGGCGUCACACAUCGUUGCCCCCCUAAACACCCCAUGACACUCCCUGUUGGGUGUGUCUGGAUUGAUCAGGGGCGGAGGAUGGCCUCCCGUGCGCACUUUGUCUCGCGGUUGGUCCAAAAUUGAGUCCUCAGCCACACUGUAGUGGCAAUAGGUGGUUGUCGAUCAUUCGGUGCCCCGUCACGUGUGUUGGCCUUGAAUCGGGACUCGUGUAGACCCCAAUACAUCUCUUACGGAUGCUUCCAAUGCGACCCCAGG
rnacentral:rRNA from 1 species